GUCAGGAUGGCCGAGCGGUCUAAAGCGCCAGACUCACGUUCUGGUCCAAGAAUGUGGGCGUGGGUUCGAAUCCCACUUCUGACA